rnacentral:miRNA from 14 species
CUGGCAACCAGUGUUGUGCCAC